rnacentral:rRNA from 3 species
AAAUUGAAGAGUUUGAUCAUGGCUCAGAUUGAACGCUGGCGGCAGGCCUAACACAUGCAAGUCGAACGGUAACAGGAAGCAGCUUGCUGCUUCGCUGACGAGUGGCGGACGGGUGAGUAAUGUCUGGGAAACUGCCUGAUGGAGGGGGAUAACUACUGGAAACGGUGGCUAAUACCGCAUAACGUCGCAAGACCAAAGAGGGGGACCUUCGGGCCUCUUGCCAUCAGAUGUGCCCAGAUGGGAUUAGCUUGUUGGUGAGGUAACGGCUCACCAAGGCGACGAUCCCUAGCUGGUCUGAGAGGAUGACCAGCCACACUGGAACUGAGACACGGCCCAGACUCCUACGGGAGGCAGCAGUGGGGAAUAUUGCACAAUGGGCGCAAGCCUGAUGCAGCCAUGCCGCGUGUAUGAAGAAGGCCUUCGGGUUGUAAAGUACUUUCAGCGGGGAGGAAGGUGUUG